GAAGGCUUGGUGUAGUGGUAGCAUGUCUGAUUCCAGUGAACUUGCGGGUAUCCAGAUGGUCAUCGGUUCAAAUCCGAUAGUCUUCA